rnacentral:rRNA from 1 species
GGGGAAUAUUGGACAAUGGGGGCAACCCUGAUCCAGCCAUGCCGCGUGAGUGAUGAAGGCCCUAGGGUUGUAAAGCUCUUUUGUGCGGGAAGAUAAUGACGGUACCGCAAGAAUAAGCCCCGGCUAACUUCGUGCCAGCAGCCGCGGUAAUACGAAGGGGGCUAGCGUUGCUCGGAAUCACUGGGCGUAAAGGGUGCGUAGGCGGGUUUUUAAGUCAGGGGUGAAAUCCUGGAGCUCAACUCCAGAACUGCCUUUGAUACUGAAGAUCUUGAGUCCGGGAGAGGUGAGUGGAACUGCGAGUGUAGAGGUGAAAUUCGUAGAUAUUCGCAAGAACACCAGUGGCGAAGGCGGCUCACUGGCCCGGUACUGACGCUGAGGCACGAAAGCGUGGGGAGCAAAC